UCGUAAGCUAAAUCUUUUAGCUCCCAAGAAAUAGGUCUCAACAUACAAUGAACUGCUAUAUGUUCUUGGAGUGCAUUAUAACUAAAGGUGAAUCAAGCUGUAUCGGGGGAUAAAAAACAGGAGAAAAGAAAAAAACAAGGUGAAUCAAGGUUGAAUAUAAACCAUCCAAAUCCAGAUGCGUGAAAAUCAGUAAAAUAGAUUGAUAAAAUUCUCUCAUAAUUCUUUCUUUUCAAAUAUUCAAAGGAUGCAGAUCAAAUGC
rnacentral:lncRNA from 1 species